CCUGGGGUGGUCAGGGCCCAGAGAUCCAAAGGUGAGGGAGGCAGGUCGGAAACUCUCCUGUGUGUUAAAUAGAGUCAGGUCUCCAGACCUAUUUAAAUCAUAUCUUGGGGAAGUAAAAAGUGGGCAGGAGACUAUUGUCAUCCCUGUGGCUCAAACCCAAUCCUGAACCUCCGCCUUCUUGACAAGGGUCUGUCUGAGAUGACAGGAGGCCCCUACUUAAUCUUCCUGGGCAAAUACUAGAAGAUGGUCUCCGCCAUUCCAGAUGCUGAGAGUUUACGUUUAUUUCCACAAGUCUUAGAGCCUUUGCUGGUGGAUGUGAUGGUGUUGGAACACUACAAAUCCACACAAUGGCUUUAUUCUGUGGCCGGGAUCUCUAGGUGAUACCAAGUCUUAAAGAACAAGGAGGAGCAGCCCAUUUAGUAUGGCUCCCGCAGAGGGCCACGGUUCCUCUCUAGAUGCCACAGGCCUGUGGCUUGCUGAGGAGGGGCGCCUUCACCUGUGAACACUUUCCAAGCAGGCACAGACGGGGCACAGGAGGUGGCCCCGAGAGUGACAUAUUUCUCCCUGACAUGUGAGCGCUCAUAAAAUUAUUGUGCAAGAAGAGAGGCUUGAAGAUCCUCAUUGCCUAAGACUCCUUUCUCCCUCCUCCACAGGGUUGGAACUCAAUCUCGUGUUGCAGGAGACCUUUGGACCGCCAUUGCCAGGGACGCCCCACCCGUGGGGCUGUUAGAGUCUCUCUCGCCUGGUUUAUGUCACAGCACACAAUUCCCGGUUGACUUAAACUACCCAAAAGAACAGCUCUGUGCAUCCUGGCUGCUUCUGAAUCCCAGGAGGCUCUCCGCCUGUGAAUUCUGAGGAGGUGUGGGGUUUUCCUCCUCAUCCGGGGGCUCCCCAGAUCUCUCACACAAUCUCUCACUCCCCCCUUUUUUGCUUGGUCUGUAAGUGGCCUUGGAGCACAACCAUCUGCCACAAAAGAAAUAUUUCAGAACUCGAGCUUACAUGUUCAAACCCAACAGAGCUAUCUAGUUUUGUUGUAGAAUUAUCUCCGCUUUGCCAAAGGAAACUUAAGGCACAGAUUUAUUAUGAGUGACCAAAGGGAUGAUGGUGAGGUCAAGGGGAAGAGGGAAAUGAAAGAGGAAAUCCCUUGGGAAUUAAGGGUUAGUUUUCCUGGGCAUGAUUAGACAGGGUCAGAGACAUUAGGUCUCUAGAUGAAAAAAAGACACAUUUGUCACACCUGAAUUGUAAUCCGAGACUCCUUCUGUCACCAAAGCUCCAAGUUUCCUGAGUUUGGGCUGAGAAGUUAGAGGGGGACCUGCAGCAGCAGCAGCCUCUUCCUACAGGCCCGCGCUGUGGGAGACCAGAUGGUGAAAACAAUGAAAUCUGGGGCCAGGGUAGAAUCUACUGGAAACAAUGGGCAUGACAAAGCCAUGGGGCCUGCCUGUAGGAAAUGGGCAUCAAGGGAGUGAUGUCUACAGGUUCAGUGGAAAAGCCAUGUCUGCAAAGAACCGGACCAAAGGAGUGUAGCUUAUGGUCUUGCUACUCAAACUGUGGUCCGUGGACCAGUGACAUCAGCAUUACCUGGGAACUGCUGCUUAGAAAUGCAGAAGAAUCUCAGGCCCAUUCAGGCCAAAUCAACAUUCCAUUUUAGCCAGAUACUCAGGUGGUUUGUGGGCACACGGAAGUUUGAGAAACACUGUCUGAAUUCUUCCAAGUGAGGUGCAGCUGAGUACAUGUUCUACUCGGAGUGUGGCAGGGUCUAUAUGUUCCUACAUCAUGCGGACCCUGACUGUGGAGAUCCAAGCAACCCUCAAACAGAGUGUCAGGGAGGUAGGGCUGGGCGGCCUGUAUUAGGACGGGCCUCAAAGUUUAGACCAGACUCUCCUCAGUUUCCCCUCCAGCACCAGUCUUACGCUUCUAUAUGGUAACCCUCAUCAUUCAUGUCUAUUUGUGCUAGUGUUUCUCCUGGACAAAUUCUUCUAAGUGGGCACAUUUCAGAGAUUGCCAAAUUUCCCAAACAAAAAAGUUCACCCAUGUGUGUUCCUGCUAACAGCAUGGAGAAUGCAUGUUCUCUACCCUUUUGCCAAUAUUACCUAACAAUUUCAAUUCUGGCAUCUGGAAACCCACAAAAAUUAUAUUUAGUGAUUUAAAUUUACAUUAUUGGUGAGCUAAGCUUUUCAUAUUUAGUGGUAAUUUGUACUUUUUCCAUAUAAUUAAUAUGUUCUGGUACUUUCUUCAUUUUUUUAAUGAUGAAUUUUCCCUAUUAUUGAUUUGUCCCUAUGUUUUGUAUAUGGGGAAGUUAUUUUUGGCCUCUUUUAUGUGCAGCACAUAUCUCGUUUUGAUUUCAUUGAAGGCACACACACACACACACACAUACACACACACACCUGUACAGCAAUGUUUAGAAAUGUAAAACUGUUACGUAGUCAUAUUUAUUGGUCAUGUUCUUUGUGACUUCUAGGUUUCAUUUUGAUGUUUAGGAAAGCUUUCUCUGUUCCUAGUUUGUGAAAAACAUGCAAUGAUGAAAACAGUGCUUUUUGUCUGCAUUUUAAAAAAUUGAAAUCUUCGCUUCAUGUAAAAUAAAUGUGGGUUAAAAGAAAAUAGAGUUAAGAAUUCACUCUGUUUUCUCCAAAUGGUUAACAGAUUAUCCUUACAGAUUUUCUCAUGUAACAGAUUUUCCUCAUUGCUUGGAAAUGCCACCUUUAAAUAAUGUACUGAAUUCUCAUAUGUACUUGAGUUUAUUUCUGUGCUUUUUAAUUCCAUUUAUCUGUCUGCCAGUUCCAUGCCAUUUUCUUCUAAAUAAUUAUUAUUGUAGCUUUGCCAUGUCUUUUACUAUAGGGAGGGCUGGCCUACCCCUGGGCCAAGGACUUCCUUGGCUCUUCUCCUGUGUAUUCUUAUAGGCAAUAAUGAUAAUAAUAAUAAUAAAGCUGAUAUUUACACAC